UCGUAACAAGGUCUCCGUUGGUGAACCAGCGGAGGGAUCAUUACCGAGUUUUCAACUCCCAAACCCUUAUGUGAACCUACCUAUCGUUGCUUCGGCGGACUCGCCCCAGCCGGACGCGGACUGGACCAGCGGCCGCCGGGGACCAUCAAACUCUUGUAUUAUCAGCAUCUUCUGAAUACGCCGCAAGGCAAAACAAAUAAAUUAAAACUUUCAACAACGGAUCUCUUGGCUCUGGCAUCGAUGAAGAACGCAGCGAAAUGCGAUAAGUAAUGUGAAUUGCAGAAUCCAGUGAAUCAUCGAAUCUUUGAACGCACAUUGCGCCCGCCAGCAUUCUGGCGGGCAUGCCUGUUCGAGCGUCAUUUCAACCCUCGACCUCCCUUUGGGGAAGUCGGCGUUGGGGACCGGCAGCACACCGCCGGCCCUGAAAUGGAGUGGCGGCCCGUCCGCGGCGACCUCUGCGUAGUAAACCAACUCGCACCGGAACCCCGACGUGGCCACGCCGUAAAACACCCAACUUCUGAACGUUGACCUCGAAUCAGGUAGGACUACCCGCUGAACUUAAGCAUAUCAAUAA
rnacentral:misc_RNA from 1 species